rnacentral:lncRNA from 1 species
CCAAUGGCUGUGCUUUACUCCAUUCUAAGCAUUUCAGGCAUAAUUAGUUUCAUAGUUUACAAAGAAAAUAUCAAGGAGAAAUUUUCUUACAGGUUUGGGACUGGAAUUGAUAAACGAUUGAUUAUAACAGAGGGAGAACAGUAUAUAUUUGUCCAAAGAACUCCACAAAAGAAUUUGGGAGCAGGCCAGUGAACAGGCAGGUGAAACAUCACUAGAAGCUCCUAAGAAACAGGAAGACUGGCAAGGUGUCCAGUAUGUCCUCCCAAAGAAGACAGGAAAACAAGACACAUGUGAGAUCAGUGGAUCAAACUUGGGACCUUGCGGUUGUGAGAGAGCUGGCCGUGCAUAGUGGUGCAUGCCUGUGAUCUCAGCACUCGGGAGGCUGAGGCGGGGGAUCGCUGAGAGUUUGAG